rnacentral:rRNA from 1 species
GACGAACGCUGGCGGCGUGCUUAACACAUGCAAGUCGAACGGAAAGGCCCUGCUUUUGUGGGGUGCUCGAGUGGCGAACGGGUGAGUAACACGUGAGUAACCUGCCCUUGACUUUGGGAUAACUUCAGGAAACUGGGGCUAAUACCGGAUAGGAGCUCCUGCUGCAUGGUGGGGGUUGGAAAGUUUCGGCGGUUGGGGAUGGACUCGCGGCUUAUCAGCUUGUUGGUGGGGUAGUGGCUUACCAAGGCUUUGACGGGUAGCCGGCCUGAGAGGGUGACCGGCGACAUUGGGACUGAGAUACGGCGCAGACUCCUACGGGAGGCAGCGGUGGGGAAUAUUGCACAGUGGGCGGAAGCCUGAUGCGGCAACGCCGCGUGCGGGAUGACGGCCUUCGGGUUGUAAACCGCUUUCGCCUGUGACGAAGCGUGAGUGACGGUAAUGGGUAAAGAAGCACCGGCUAACUACGUG